rnacentral:lncRNA from 1 species
CACGCUGGGAGCUGUAGACGGGAGCUGUUACUAUUCGGCCAUCUUGGCUCCUCCGCCCUAAAAUCCUCUUUUCAUUCCUAGUCAUUCUCUGUAAAGUGUGCUCUUGUGCUGGGCCCAAACUCAAAAGCUUCUGGACACCAUGCAGGUAUCAUAAAUGUAUGAUAAAGUCAGUGACGAAGUCUUGCUCUGUUGCCCAGGCUGCCGUGCUGUGGCAUGAUCUCGUGCUCACUGCAACCUCUAGGGCUCAAACGAUUCUCCUGCCUCAGCCUCCCGGUAGCUGAGAUUACAGGCAUCCGCCACAACGCCCAGCUAAUGGUCUGCUCAAUUGGAAGAAAGUAGUAGUCUCACAAGGUUCUUAUCUUGCCUUCCAUUGUAUUAUACUCUUCUGGUUUUCCUCCUUCUCUUGUGCACUUAAUUUUUGAGUGGUAGUGUGUGCAAAGACUGGUUAUGAUGCACAAUCAGCCAGCAUAUACAAUUUGGGAUUCAAUGUAUAAAUUCCCUUCAGAGGGAAGAGGAAAGAGGAAGCCUGAGCCAGGAACUCAUCUUCCAGGAACUGCAUCUUGAAGGCUUAUUACCUUCAAGUGACGGCCAUACUGAUAUGAAAAUUAUGGACCAUGGCAAGACUAGAAAACUCACCAAGGGCAUGAAACAUCAGAGUGAACUCUCAGAGUAGAUUGUCCAAGAAAAUAGAUGGUUGCAGUAAGCUUUAGGUAUUCUCCAACCUGAAAUCUUAUGACUGGAGCAUAUUUGCAUUACUUUCUUUGUCUUGAUACUACAAGUUUCCUAGAAUUUGCUGUGACUCAUGUAUUUGAACAGUUUUCCUUUGGUUUACACAAUUUCAAGUUUAAACACCCAUUGAUGUUAUUACAUACAAUACACUUUCAGUCAGCACUUUAGAAUUGUAAUCUUCAUUUAUGCACAUAAUUUGUUUCUUCAGUUACAAACAUGUGGUGCAAUUAUGUUGGUUUUUAUCAUUGACUUGGGAAUUAGGGUUUGUAUUUAUGUGAUUAAAGUAUUCAGUUUUUGAGUAAGUUCUGUAACUUAAAUAUUUGCUGUGCACCAGUCAUAGUUUAAAUGGAAAAUCAACUUUAAAAGGUAAAAUUUGGUGCCAUCCAGUGUCAUCAUUGUGAAUUGCAGCAUAAGCACAAUUGUGAGGAAAAUAAUUUCAAAUGGAAACUAACUACAAUUUGCAGAAAUACCAAUAAUGAUUUUAAAAUAGUAUAAAUUUGAAAUUAAAUUUAACUGCAACAUGAGAUAAUAUAGAAAAAACCAUGGAAUUAAGAGAAUUGAAACAUGUUCUGGAAUUGCUUUAUUUAUAAAAUGGGAAUAUGUUACCUACAUGGUAGACAAGAGCUAGAAAAAUUUUUUUUAUAAGGUCUAAAUACCAAACACAUACUGUACUUGACAUCUACUACAUUAGACAUAUAUUAUCUUUAUAUUACACUAUGUUAAAUAAAAUCUUUAUAUAUUGCAAAGAAAUUAAUAUUUGGUUCAACUUAUAGGGCAUUACACAAGUCUGAACUUUUGAAAGUCAUUCACAGGACAAAAUAUGGGGCACAUUUCUGUAGAUGCUAAAAUUAAGAAGGAAAAUUUCUACUAAGUAUAGAUUUUUGGUCUUCUCACAGAAGUUUUCGG